rnacentral:lncRNA from 1 species
GCCACCUCCCUGGGAAUGACUGAAUAUCUAUGACUGCGGAUGGUAAAGAUGAUUUGUUUUUCCUUGACUCAGGGUUUGCAAUGGUUACAAUAAUUAUGUAGGAAGUAUCCAGGCAUAAUAUCCUCCUUUUCCUUUCUAUCAGAUGCUUUUCAAGUUUUAAGAAACAAGCUCAAAUCCCUGUUCCUUUAAGGUGUUCAAUUUGUUUUGUCUCUUCUGACCUCUAGUGAUCACUCUGUUUUUUAAACUCCUACAUUUUAACACCACACCAUUUGCUCUUUAUUUAUUUUUAACUUUCA